GACGAACCGAGCGAACGUUGUUCGGAAUCACUGGGCUUAAAGGGCGCGUAGGCGGGCUGCCAAGUUUGGGGUGAAAUCCUCCGGCUCAACCGGGGAAGUGCCUUGAAUACUGGCGGUCUGGAGGGGGGUAGGGGCGUGCGGAACCAACGGUGGAGCGGUGAAAUGCGUAGAGAUCAGGAAGAACACCGGUGGCGAAAGCGCUCUGCUGGACCUUAACUGACACUGAGGGACGAAAGCUAGGGGAGCGAAUGGG
rnacentral:rRNA from 1 species